rnacentral:rRNA from 1 species
GACAGAGGGUGCAAACGUUGUUCGGAUUUACUGGGCGUAAGGCGCGUGUAGGCGGCUUUGCAAGUCGGAUGUGAAAGCCCACGGCUCAACCGUGAAAGUGCAUCCGAAACUGCAUGGCUGGAGUCUCGGAGAGGAAGGUGGAAUGCUUGGUGUAGAGGUGAAAUUCGUAGAUAUCAAGCAGAACACCUGCGGCGAAGGCGGCCUUCUGGACGAUGACUGACGCUGAGACGCGAAAGCGUGGGGAGCAAACAGG